CAGUACGGUGAAACGAUUUCAGAAAUUGGAGCUUAGAGUGCGGUGGUGAAAACCUGGACGUGGGGAACACGCCGCCGGGCCGCCACGUGUCCCGAGUCGUGGUGGCGGCCGGCUUCGAGCUUAGGCGUGCGGAGGCGGCCGCUGGUGGCCGCGGCGCUGCGCGCGGCCUGGUUGUUGCGCCCGGGCAGCCGCUGACUGAGCCUGGGAGGCGGCCGGCAGAAGACAACAUUCCUGGGAUUUGGGGGCGGGGGGUUACCCUUAACGUUAAGAGCGAGAGGCCUGUGAUAGGGUGUCUUUCUCCCAUGGCCAGAUCAACAGUUAUUUCCAAACGGGCAGCCCCUGACUCGGCGUGAGACAGUUGUAUUGUGCCCAGGUGGCGCUGUGUGCAAAUAGCAUUAUUGCAGGGGAGGAGUUUAGUGCUGAAAACCUUGAACUAUGACAUUCUGUGAGACUGCUUAACUUUAAAUAGAUGCCCCGCAAGAACAAUGGCUUUCGGCGUAACGGAGCUGUUAUGUGGAGAGACUGAGAGGCAAAGGAAAGUUCCAAAACGUAUGGGAGAAGGUUUGCUGGAAAAUGACUUGGUUAAAACCUGACAAUCUUACCAGCAUCCUGCAGGUCGAUGAACAUUAAUGAAGCUAUGACCGUCACCGAUUGAUGAUGAACAGCUUCAUUUGAAAAGACAGGGGUCGCUGUCUGCCUAUUGAAAGAGGCCAGUUUGCCAUGAAGUUCCUAAGGUGUAAACAUGUCUGGUUAGUGCCACGAGAUUUACUUGUCUGUUGUAUGAAAAACUGGUGAUCAGGAAAAGCUCUUCAUUUUAUGGACACGGAAAGAAAACAAAACUCAAGACAGAUUAUUUAUUUUAAUUUUGAAAUUGCAUUUGUAAAUAGAUUUCUGAGCCAACAUCGAAUCUAGAUUAAUGCAUCCAUAAGAUUCAAGCCAUUUCUGUUUAAUCAUGUCACUGCCCUAGAGUCGUAACCUGUUAGCCAGUAUAUUAUUGAUACUUUCUAGCUCUGAAACUGUUUUUAAUGGAAAAUUCUUUUUCAGUUAUCCAGUCGUGUAAUUAAAUAAUUCUGAGUGAAUGUUUAGCCUUUGGUCCCCUGUCUGAAUUUAAAAUGCAUAAUUGUAAAUACAGGCAAGUGAAAGUUUAUACUAUUGUGGGAAAAUCCUUAGUAGGGAGAGAUGACUUGGUUUGGUGAUCAUAAGGAUCACAAGGGGAUAUGGGAAACCUUGACUUUGUGCAGGGUACUAAGUAUUACUGAAUUAAUGGAGGUGAAAGCAGAGUAGAGAGAGAGGACCUAUGACUGGGGUGAGGGGAGGGAAAGCCAGGCAGCAAAACAAUCAGUAUACUAGCUGAAUUGUGGACUAUUUAGUCCUAGUAUAAUAGUAAUAUGAAGGGGUAUUUAUGCUGAAAAUGGGGAGGAGUAAUGCUGAAAAUUAAGGAAGAGAGCACAGCAUAACAAUCAGGAGCCAUGAGGGAAGGUCACUGAUAAAAUCUGGGUUAAAACUGGUCAAACAUUGUACAGAAUGGAUUAGUGUAAACAGUAAUAGCAUCUGAUCUAACC